rnacentral:tRNA from 1 species
UCGCUGUUAGCUCAGUUGGUAAAGAAUCUGCCUGCAAUGCAGGAGACCCUGGUUUGAUUCCUGGGUAGGGAA